GACGAACGCUGGCGGCGUGCUUAACACAUGCAAGUCGAACGGAAAGGCCCUGCUUUUGUGGGGUGCUCGAGUGGCGAACGGGUGAGUAACACGUGAGUAACCUGCCCUUGACUUUGGGAUAACUUCAGGAAACUGGGGCUAAUACCGGAUAGGAGCUCCUGCUGCAUGGUGGGGGUUGGAAAGUUUCGGCGGUUGGGGAUGGACUCGCGGCUUAUCAGCUUGUUGGUGGGGUAGUGGCUUACCAAGGCUUUGACGGGUAGCCGGCCUGAGAGGGUGACCGGCCAAAUGGGGACUGGGAUACGGCCCAGCCCCCUACGGGGGGAAGGAGGGGGGAAUAUGGCACAAUGGGGGGAAGCCUGAUGCAGAAACCCCGGGGGGGGGAUGACGGCCUUGGGGUUGUAAACCGCUUUCGCCUGUGACGAAGCGGGGGUGACGGUAAUGGGUAAAGAAGCACCGGCAAACUACGU
rnacentral:rRNA from 1 species